AAACAGUUGUACACAAACACCAAAGAAGCAGUCCCACACAUGCAGAAAAAGAACGUUAUCUACCAUAUCAGCUGUACAAACUGUCCGGGUUGUUAUGUGGGUCUUACCACUACCCAACUCCGCGAGAGGAUGUACGGCCAUCAAACCCACAUCAACACACUUGACCGCUUGCUGCAAGCCGGUCAACAAUACAGUGAUCCGCAGGUCCAACAACUACGGGAGAAAAGUGCGUUAGUACAACAUUGUGUCGAUCACCAACACAGAUUUGACAUCAAGCACCCCAAGAUCAUCGAUAAGACCUUCAGGACCCACACACUACCAUUCCUCGAGAUGUGCCAUAUCGCGACAACAGCCCAAACCGUAAACAAACGCACUGAUACGGAGGGGCUCAGUGUAGCGUACGCACAUCUCCUAUCGUCUAUCUCACUCAUUAAAAAACCGAAACCAAACACGAACACCAAUAGUCAACCAUCCCAUACCCAAACAAACCAUCCCAAUAGCCCUAUUCCACCAACACAACAUCCCACUGCACUGCAACCAACACCACCACCCCCCAGUUGAUCCUAAAGUAGUUAAAACCAUUUUCGUUUUGCAUGGAAAAUAGUGACCUGUGCCAAUUUUUGCGUUUAUCCCCGUUUAUUUGUGUCCAUUUAAGUAAAAAUAACGAUCUGUACACCUUAACGUGCUUAAUGAUACAAUUACGGGAGGCAGUGCAAACCAAAAGUGACAAAUUAUCGCCCGAUCGACGAAACCUGACUAAGUUGGUCAAGCCCUAGCCCUGAUGAAGAUGCCCCCCAAUAGCAUCGAAACGUUGGCAUUGGUAUAAAA